rnacentral:rRNA from 1 species
UGUUGAAGAUUAAGCCAUGCAUGUGUAAGUAUAAAGACCUAGUAGGAUGAAACUGCGGACGGCUCAUUACAACAGUUAUAGUUUCUUUGGUUAGUACAAAAAGGAUAACUCUGUUAAUUGUAGAGCUAAUACUUGAGACUUUCCACUCUCUUUCCAAGAUUGUGGCGACUAGAUUUCGAUCUAGUUAUCAAUUAUUCCAUUCUGAAUGCUGGAAUAAGGCCAAUUGUAGAAUCCAUCGGAUUUUCCAAGUAACCAAUGGGAAUUUCUGACUUAUCAACCUGUAGGUAAGGUAGUGGCUUACCUUGGUGAUCACGAGUAACGAGAAAUAAGGGUUUGACAUCGGAGAGGGAGCCUUAAAAAUGGCUACCACUUCCAAGGAAGGCAGCAGGCGCGAAAAUUACCCACUUGGGACUCCCAGAGGUAGUGAAGACAAAUAACUAAAUUCUGUCCUUUGGAUAGGAUUUAAGGGAUGAGCUAGACGUUAAUACUCUAGUGAAAGCGAUUGGAGGGCAAGUCUGGUGCCAGCAGCCGCGGUAAUUCCAGCUCCAAUAGUGUAUAUUAAAGUUGUUGUGAUUAAAAAGCUCGUAGUUGAAUUUGACAUGGACUCUUGGAUCAUUCUCUUUUAUCCAAAAGAGAGCGAUUCCUUCCACAGUCCUCAACACCUUUCAUGUUGCUUCUCUCGAGAGGCUCAUGGAGAUAUUUACUUUGAAUAAAUAUGAGUGUUUAAAGCAAAGCAUUUGCUAAUUAAAUAUGAAGCAUGGGAUAAUCAUGAGGAGAUACAUUUCAUUUUCACACUUGUGAAUCAUGAUUGUAUUUCUAGAUCAAGAUUAAGAGAAAGAGACGGGGUGAUUUAUACGGAAAUGGGAGAGGUGAAAAUCCAUGAUCAUUUUAGGAUAAACUGAAGCGAAAGCAUUUCACUUGAAUCUUUUCAUUAAUCAAGAACGAAAGUUAGGGGAUCGAAGACGAUUAGAUACCGUCGUAGUCCUAACUAUAAACGAUGUCAACGAAGGAUUGGAUUGAAUUAAAGCUAGCACUUGCUUCCGCUUGUACUAGCACUAUACUUCAGUUCAGGACUUGAGGGGAAACCUCUAGUUAAUGGACUUCAGGGGGAGUAUGCUCGCAAGGGUGAAACUUAAAGGAAUGACGGAUGACGGAAGGGCACACCAGGAGUGGAGCCUGCGGCUUAAUUUGACUCAACACGGGAAAACUUACCAAGACCAGACAUUAAGAGGAGUGACAGAGUAAGGGAACUUUCAUGAUUUGAUGGAGAGUGGUGCAUGGCCGUUCUUAGUUGGUGGAGUGAUUUGUCAGGUUUAUUCCGAUAACGAACGAGACUUUAAUCUUUAAUUAGAUCACAUAGCUCCAUGUUAUGUGAGCCAGCAAUGGCCCUCUCAUCGAGGUCUUCUUAAAGAGACUCUUGACAAUUUUCUCACAUGCUCAUUGACCAAACAGGUAGUGAGUAUGGAGAACAAGUUAAGGGAAGAGAAGCAAUAACAGGUCUGUGAUGCCCUUAGACAUCUUGGGCUGCACGCGUGCUACAAUAUCUAUUUUCAAGAGUACUUUUAACAUUCCAUAGGUGGAUGUUGGCUUUCACGAGCUGACAGACGCAACUAGGUUUGUCUACCUUUUCCGAAAGGAUUGGGAAAACUCGUAAGAUAGAUGUAACAGGGAUUAAUGAUUGGAAUUAUUUGUUAUGGAACGAGGAAUUCCUUGUAAAAUUUUGUCACUAACGAAAGUUGAAUACGUCCCUGCCCUUUGUACACACCGCCCGUCGCUCCUACCGAUUGAAUAAAAAGAUGAAGGUUUAGGAGGAAUCCAUUCAUUGGAACCAAAUGGAUCUGAAUCUCUUUAUUUAGAGG